rnacentral:rRNA from 1 species
AGUGAACGCUGGCGGUAGGCCUAACACAUGCAAGUCGAACGGCAGCACAGUAAGAGCUUGCUCUUACGGGUGGCGAGUGGCGGACGGGUGAGGAAUACAUCGGAAUCUACUUUUUCGUGGGGAUAACGUAGGGAAACUUACGCUAAUACCGCAUACGACCUACGGGUGAAAGCAAGGGAUCUUCGGACCUUUCGCGAUUGAAUGAACCGAUGUCGGAUUAGCUAGUUGGCGGGGUAAAGGCCCACCAAGGCGACGAUCCGUAGCUGGUCUGAGAGGAUGAUCAGCCACACUGGAACUGAGACACGGUCCAGACUCCUACGGGAGGCAGCAGUGGGGAAUAUUGGACAAUGGGCGCAAGCCUGAUCCAGCCAUACCGCGUGGGUGAAGAAGGCCUUCGGGUUGUAAAGCCCUUUUGUUGGGAAAGAAAAGCAGCAGGUUAAUACCCCGCUGUUCUGACGGUACCCAAAGAAUAAGCACCGGCUAACUUCGUG